GACGAACGCUGGCGGCGUGCUUAACACAUGCAAGUCGAACGGUAAGGCCCUUCGGGUACACGAGUGGCGAACGGGUGAGUAACACGUGGGUGAUCUGCCCUGCACUUCGGGAUAAGCUUGGGAAACUGGGUCUAAUACCGGAUAGGACCACGGUCUGCAUGGAUUGUGGUGGAAAGCUUUUGCGGUGUGGGAUGGGCCCGCGGCCUAUCAGCUUGUUGGUGGGGUGAUGGCCUACCAAGGCGACGACGGGUAGCCGGCCUGAGAGGGUGUCCGGCCACACUGGGACUGAGAUACGGCCCAGACUCCUACGGGAGGCAGCAGUGGGGAAUAUUGCACAAUGGGCGCAAGCCUGAUGCAGCGACGCCGCGUGGGGGAUGACGGCCUCGGUU
rnacentral:rRNA from 1 species